rnacentral:rRNA from 1 species
AGUGAACGCUGGCGGUAGGCCUAACACAUGCAAGUCGAACGGCAGCACAGUAAGAGCUUGCUCUUACGGGUGGCGAGUGGCGGACGGGUGAGGAAUACAUCGGAAUCUACUUUUUCGUGGGGGAUAACGUAGGGAAACUUACGCUAAUACCGCAUACGACCUACGGGUGAAAGCAGGGGAUCUUCGGACCUUGCGCGAUUGAAUGAGCCGAUGUCGGAUUAGCUAGUUGGCGGGGUGAAGGCCCACCAAGGCGACGAUCCGUAGCUGGUCUGAGAGGAUGAUCAGCCACACCGGAACUGAGACACGGUCCAGACUCCUACGGGAGGCAGCAGUGGGGAAUAUUGGACAAUGGGCGCAAGCCUGAUCCAGCCAUACCGCGUGGGUGAAGAAGGCCUUCGGGUUGUAAAGCCCUUUUGUUGGGAAAGAAAAGCAGCAGGUUAAUACCCCGCUGUUCUGACGGUACCCAAAGAAUAAGCACCGGCUAACUUCGUG